AUUGAACGCUGGCGGCAGGCCUAACACAUGCAAGUCGAACGAGUGGCGGACGGGUGAGUAAUGUCUGGGAAACUGCCCGAUGGAGGGGGAUAACUACUGGAAACGGUAGCUAAUACCGCAUACCAUCGGAUGUGCCCAGAUGGGAUUAGCUAGUAGGUGGGGUAACGGCUCACCUAGGCGACGAUCCCUAGCUGGUCUGAGAGGAUGACCAGCCACACUGGAACUGAGACACGGUCCAGACUCCUACGGGAGGCAGCAGUGGGGAAUAUUGCACAAUGGGCGCAAGCCUGAUGCAGCCAUGCCGCGUGUAUGAAGAAGGCCUUCGGGUUGUAAACUCCUUUCACCAUCGACGCGGUAGAUGGAGAAGAAGCACCGGCUAACUACGUGCCAGCAGCCGCGGUAAUUC
rnacentral:rRNA from 1 species